UACGUACGAGGCGAGCGUUGUCCGGAGUUACUGGGCGUAAAGCGCUUGUAGGCGGUCCACCAAGUUUGGGGUGACAGUUGCCGACUUAAUCGGCAAAGUGCCUCAAAGACUGGCGGACUUGAGGGCCACAGAGGGACAUGGAACUCCAGGUGUAGUGGUGAAAUGCGUAGAUAUCUGGAAGAACACCAAAGGCGAAGGCAGUGUCCUGGGUGGUCGCUGACGCUGAGAGGCGAAAGCCAGGGGAGCGAACGGG
rnacentral:rRNA from 1 species